UGCAGAUGAUGGAAGCAAAUAUCUGAGCUUUCUUGACGACUCCCAACCACCAAGAUCGCUGAUGCA
ensembl:snoRNA SNORD24 Small nucleolar RNA SNORD24